AUUUUUCCUAUACAGUAGCUACUUGAUUGAACACAGAACAAGUGUUUAAAGAUGGAACUCGGAAGUCCAACGAAACUCAACUGUUUCAUCUUUCUUCAUUGACGCAUGGCGGCAACUGUGUCGGUGAGUGGUGGCUCCUCCUCGGAAUCGGCAUUGAUUUUCAUGGGGACAGGCUGCUCCAGCGCCAUCCCCUAUCCGAGGUGCCUCAUCUCUCCCUCCCAUCCUCCCUGUCACGUUUGCUUCCAAUCGCUCUCUCUCCCUCCCAACCGAAACCCUAAUUACAGGUGUAAUGCGUCCCUCUUAAUCGAUUAUUGCGAAAGCCACGGCAAUCACCGCUAUAUUCUCAUUGAUGCUGGCAAGACUUUCAGGGAAACGGUGCUUAGGUGGUUUCUUCAUCAUCAGAUUCCAAGAAUAGAUUCUAUUGUUUUGACUCAUGAGCAUGCUGAUGCUGUCCUUGGAUUGGAUGAUGUGCGUAGUAUUCAACCAGUUAGUCCCACAAAUGAUAUUGAUCCUACUCCCGUGUACUUGACUCAGCAUUCAAUGACUAGCUUGGAAACCAAAUUUCCUUAUUUGGUAAACAAAAAACUCAAAGAAGGGCAAGAAAUACGAAGGGUAGCUCAAUUUUCCUGGAACAUAAUUGCUGAAGACUGCAAUCAACCAUUUUUUGCAUCAGGCUUAAAAUUGACUCCUUUACCAGUAAUGCAUGGAGAGGAUUACAUCUGUUUGGGCUUUCUCUUUGGUGACAAAAGUAAGGUAGCUUAUUUAUCUGAUGUCUCACGGAUUCCAGCUACCACGGAUUAUGUCAUUUCAAAAAGUGGGGCUGGACAGUUGGAUCUUCUGAUAUUGGAUUCGUUGUAUAAGACUGGAUCAAAUAAGUUUCACCUUUGUCUUCCACAGACGCUUGAAACUGUGAAGAUGUUAUGUCCAAAACAAGCCCUACUGAUUGGAAUGAAUCACGAGUUUGAUCACCAUCAGGACAAUGAAUUAUUAAUGGAGUGGUCUAGAAGGUACAUUGCUUGUCCAUCUUGACAUAGUAAAAGCUUAGCUGUUAAAAAUAAAUCAGGCGAAGCACCCAUGGGAAGGAAUUCUAGUGCAGCUGGCUCAUGAUGGUUUGAGAGUCCCCAUAAACUUAUAGUAAGGGUAAUGCAUAUGGGGAUGUGCUUAGUUCACCGUUUACUCGUGCUUUACAGUGAGUUCGAGUUCAAUGAUGCAUGCUUUCUUUGCUGGAUUAUAUGCAAGCAAUUGUUGGGGAACAAUCCUAAUGCGAAUCUUUCUUCUCCCUUAAAUUUUUUAUUAAAAGAAAUUACUUUUCAUAUUAUAUAAUUAUAUUGGAGAACACUGAAAUACUUUGUGACAUUGUCUUCUGUUUAAUCUGUUUAUACUGCAGCCAGAGGAAUCUAAAAUCCUUAGUGUAAAAACUGCUUUGUUAAUUCGAAUAAAAUGGGAUCCUACCAAGGGAUUCGAGGAUAGAAGUUCUUCAAACUAGCGUUUUGUUCCCCUCUAAAUAUGAGAUUAUGAUUUUUGUAUGGAUGAUAACAAUUUUGCCUUCA